rnacentral:lncRNA from 1 species
GGUGAUGAAGAAAGUCCAUCCAAGCAAUGCUCAGAGUCAAAGGGCUUGUUCAGCUGAAACAGAAGAAACUGGAGAAGUUGGGGCUUUGAACCAGAAAGUUAGAUAGAGCUCAGGCUCAUGACAUUUGUAGCUGCUUUCAGUAAAAUUGGUUGUGCAUAAAAAAAAAAUUGUUCUGAAAAAGUGUAUGUUUGGGCUAAGUCAUGCCUUUAGCUUAAGACUUUUUAAUGGGUUGGAUCUAUUGGUUUCAGUCCAAAUUCCAGGCCCAGUUUGUAUUAUUAUGACAGCAAUUGUUUUUUUUUAUUUGUUUAGAUUAUCAUUAUAAUUUAUUUUGAUGCACUUAAGCAUACUCAUUACACAUUUAAUUUUGUUUUGUUGGUGGCCCAAAAUUGGUUCAAUGAAGACUUUCAAGAACACGAACGAUUUAAUGUGGUUUUUCAAAGCCAGCCUACAUACAUAAUGAUGUUGAUAUAGGCAUAAUGCAUACUUAUCUGCCCCCAAUGUGAGACCCAAUGACUAGGCCUUAUCAUAUGUUGUGAGAAAAUCUCAUUUUGAUCCUCCACCUUUUGUUCUUGUUCGUCAAACAAGUAACAUCUAGAGCUUAAUUAUUGAUAUGCUUCGGACUAUACUCGUGUCAUGUCGGAAUAUUUAUUAGAUUUUUCAACAAGAGUUAAUGUAAAAUGAAACACUAAAUUCAAGUUUGGGGGAUCAAAUAAGAUAAAUUGAAUGUUACAGGGUGAAAUGAGACUGAAAAUGAAACCAAAUUUUAAGGGUCAUAUCUAUAAGACUAUAUCAAUAAUUAAGUCUAAAAUUAUUCUCACAAUCUCUCUGAGUCACUUCUAAGAAGAACUAGGAGACCGAGGCCUGUAGCCUAUGUGUGACUUUUGAGCUUGUGGGUCAAGAUAGUAAUGUAUUUGUAAUUAGUGGUUUAUAUGCUCAUGAAUUUGGAAUGGCAUCAUCAAAUUGACUUUUGCACACACACACUGAUUGAUUACUAUUUGAUUAAUUAAGUAUAUUACUAAAAUUAGUAGGACCUAAAAGAUGUCAUUAUCUCAUGUAAAAUCAAAUCACAUGCAUUAUGCAAAACCACUUUUCCACUUUUUCACUGCUGUUAUACUGUUUUUAUAAAGUAUAGCCGCACGGCCAUACUAUAUUUUUAUAAUUAAAAACAUAGUAUAGCCGCUCGGCGAUACUCUUUUUUUAAAAAAAAAUAAUGCCCCCGCGUAUAGCCGGUCGGCUACACUAUUUAUAAAAAAUAAAGAGGACCCAUGUGCCACUUUUUAAAAACAGUAUAGCCGCCCGGCUAUACGUUUUUUAAAUAAUAAAAAACAUUUUAUUUUCCUGUAACCAAACUCAUAUUUAACUAUGUAUAAUUAUGUUAUACGGAAAGCAAGUAAGAAAAUACAAAACAAAAUUAAAAGGUAGCACCCUAAACAGCCCAUUUCUGAUAGUAUUUGUAACAGAGGAAGAAACACCAGCUGUGGAGAAGCUAUUGGUUUUUCAGAAUCAGGAUUUGGGGUUCAUGGAUGGUUGAGGCUUUGUUGUUUUUCAUUUGGAUGUUUGAGAUUGUAUAUUAUUUUGUUCCCGCGUAAAUGUCUUUUUCUGCGUCUUUCUCCUUUCUCUCUCUCUCACAUCAGCUGUUUAAAAACUUGCAACGUUUUGAAUGAUUGAAUGAUUGAACGAUCUCAUUUUUCUUGGUAUAAUUCACAAAAAAGAACAACCGUCUUCACAUAAUCACAAAAAAGAACAACGUUUUGAAUGACUAUAGUGAAAACGCCCAAUACUGCAAGUUAGUACGGACCCCAACUAACGGAACCUCCUGCAAUAAAAAGCAUGAAACCAGUAAACUUACAACAAACUCGAACUUAAAUGGUAUUGGACAGAAUUGAUACUAUGAUCUAAAAACCUCAGAUAUGUACUAACAUCACCACGACAAAGAAUUAUGACUUUUCCCCCAAGCAGAUGCUUCUGGGAUCCAAUGUGACUGUAGCUGUGCAAGACCCUUCAUUUCCAUUAAAUAUAAAUAAAAUCAAAUAUGUCUUUCUUUAAUUCUAAAUUAGGAUGAGACAUGAGGAAAAUAAUCAGUGUCAUCUCACUCUCAAUAUUAAUUUUCCUUUUUCCAUUGCAACUAUGGAUUGGCUCUUGUGCCUACAGAAACAAGGUUAUAGCUGAUGUUUAUAAACGUCUUGGAAUACUAAAUUAAAGCUACAUGGAGGCCACACAUCCAUUAUUUUUCCCAUUGAAUUUUUUUGCUAGGAAUCUUAUUGAUUUAUUGUGUUUUGGGACAGGCAUAUAUAUUAUAGAUUCUACUGUCAUUGCCGGUCGAGCUGGUAGGUUUCAAGAGGAAACUGGGAAGUAUAAGAACAUUGUGUACCUGAACUGCAGGCCUGAGAAUAAUUUUUUUCCUGAUCUAUCAAUUGCUUCUAGGGCGGAUAUCGUAUUUUUCUGCUCUCCAAACAAUCGAACUGGCAAUGCUGCAUCACAGCAGCAACUAAAGCAACUGGUGGAGUUUGCAAAAGCAAACGGAUCAAUAAUAGUUUAUGACUCCUCCUAUGCUGCUUAUAUAUCUGAUGACAGCCCGAGAUCGAUUUAUGAAAUUCCUGGGGCCAGAGAGGUUUCUCACUAGUUCUCCUCACCACCAUAUAUCAUUUUGUGCUUAACUAUACAAAACCUUCUUGUUAAACUUGACAUACAAAAGGGAUUCUCACUGGAAGUUGUUUUGGCCAAUUUUGUGUGCAGGUUGCAAUUGAAGUUUCAUCCUUCUCCAAAUUUGCUGGGUUCACAGGGGUCCGCCUCGGAUGGACGGUUGUCCCUGAUGAGUUGUUGUAUGCAAAUGGAUUUCCUGUCAUAAAGGACUGUAACCGCAUAGUGCGCACCUGCUUCAAUGGUGCAUCAAAUAUUGCCCAGGCCGGAGGGCUGGCAUGCCUUUCUGCAGAAGGUUACCAGGUUAUAAUUUACACCCCAUUUCUUUUCCAAGCAUGCAUUAAUUCUCUAGUAAGUUAAAAUCCAAUGCAGUUUCAAAUUUUAACUGUUUGUAAGUUGUGCUUUUUACAUUUUCAGGCCAUAACCACAGUGGUUGACUACUACAAGGAAAAUGCAAAAAUAAUUGUGGACACAUUCAGAUCACCUGGGUUGAAGGUGUAUGGUGGCAAGAAUGCACCUUAUAUAUGGGUACAUUUUCCAGGGUUGAGUUCUUGGGAUGUAUUCAAUGAAAUUCUUGAAAAGACAGACAUAGUGACCAUACCAGGAAAGGGAUUUGGUCCUGGAGGUGAAGAGUACAUCAGAGUUGGUGCUUUUGCCCACAGAGAAUAUAUUGGGGGCUUCAAAAAGGCUAAAAACUCUUUUUUAACUUGAGUUAUUUCAUAAAUAUUUGAACCCAGUUGACAGGUACUUGAAGCAAGAAUGACCAUCUUCUUGGAUAACUUUACUGGUUCAUGAGAUGAAUUAGGAUUGGACAAUUAUUUGGUGCUGAUAAGGAAAAAUCUAAUUGAACUGUAUUGCAUUGUUCAUAAGAUUUGUUUCUUCUCAGCCCAUUACUGGUUGUGACUUGUAUAAAUUGUAUUUGUCCUCAUUCAACAUGGCAUCUUGAACCCUUCUUUCUUUUUAUAGUUUCUUGCACUCUCCAGAUGAUGAUUGAAUUAUUUACAAAGGGUAAACUACUCAAAUGAUCCUCAAAUUUAUACUCGAUUUACAUUUUGGUCCCUCAAAUAAAUUAUUCGUUCAAAUGGUCCAUCAACUAUAUAUUAUUCGCUCCAUUGGUCCUACCGUUACAUUAUGUUAAUAUUUCCAUUAAAUAUGAGGGCAAAUUGGUCAUUAUUUACCCUAAAAUUAGGUUAAAUCUAACAGAAAAUUAGACGGUAGGACCAUUAGAGCGAAUAAUAUAGAGUUCAUGGACCAUUUGAACGAAUAAUUUAGUUGAGGUACCAAAAUGUAAAUCAGGUAUAAGUUUGAGGACCAUUUGAGUAAUUUAUACAAAAGUUCCAAUUUAUAUUUGUUAAACUUUUUGGGGUAAAUUACUCAAAUGGUCCUCAAAUUUAUACCUGAUUUAUAUUUUGGUCCCUCAAUUAAAUUAUUCGUUCAAAUGAUCUAUCAACUCUAUAUUAAUUGCUCCAUUGAUCCUACCAUUACAUUAUGUUAAUAUUGCCAUCAAAUGUAAGGAUAAAACCGUCCAUAAUUGUCCUAUGUUUUCCAAAUAUGUGAUAAGCGGUGAUACAUAAGUGAUAAAGUGGUUAUACAUAUGUGAUAAAGUGGUGAUACAUAUGUGAUAAAGUGUGAUAAAGUGAUACAUAUGUGAUAAAGUGGUGAUAAGGUGGUGAUAAAGUGUGAUACAUAUGUGAUAAAGUGAUGAUACAUAUGUGAUACCGUGGUGAUAAAGGGGUGAUACAUAGGUCAAAAGUUUUAUUUACCCUCACAAAUGUAGCAUGUGCUGCUCAUAUGACUAAAUUUAACAGAAAAUGUAACGGUAGGACCAAAGUGCCGAUUAAUAAAGAGUUGGUGGACCAUUUGAACGAAUAAUUUAGUUUAUGGACCAAAAUGUAAAUCGGGUACAAAUUUGAGAGCCAUUUGAGUAAUUUACCUAACUUUUUGAGAUUGUACCAAAUUUGUACUUUGACCAGCUGACAUGAUUUCAUGUUACAAACACGAACAUAAAAAUUAAGCGGUUAGUUGGUUGCAUGAUGAGUUGACACGAUAAUAACACGCUUAUUAAUGUUCAUUCACAAAAUACAAUGAAAAUAGGGGUUUUAGGUUCAAUGGUCCAUGAAUUUUCAUAUGAUUCGCAUUUUGGUUCCUCAAUUUCCAAAAUCGUUCCCAUAGUCCUUCAACUUUAGUUUCGUUAUGACAAAUGGUCCUGCCGUCAUUUUUAUUAAUUUUUUAUGUUAAAUUCAGGGAUUAAAAGGUUUUUUUUGUAUUAUUUUUAAUUUCCACCAUAUGAAUAUUUCAACAAAGCUAUAGACAACCUCCACCCGACAUCGAGCCAAUUAACCCACCAUCUCGACAACAACUGAUGGCGCUCCCCCAACCCACACCAUACGCACCCUCCUUGCGAUGACGAGGAUAGGAAUAAAGUUUUUCAGUUUUUAUUUUUUGGGUGAAAGGAAUAUUCACAUGGUGGAAAUUAAAAAUAAUACAAAUAUACCAUUUUGCACUCACAUUUAACAAAAAAAAAUAACAAAAUUAACGGCAUGACCAUUUGUCCUAACAAAAGUAAACUUAAAGGACCACGAGUAUGAUUUUGGAAACUAAGGGACCAAAAUGCGAAUCGGGUCAAAGUUUAGGGACCAUUAGACCUAAAAACCCAUGAAAAUAUUAAGAAAUGAAAUCAUUCAUUAAAGAGUUAUUUACAUAAACACACCCAUGAGGUUUUUAGUGUUUUCACAAACCCCCACUCAGUUUCUAAAAUUACAUGAACACCCCUUUUGAGAUUUCAAAUUUUUUUUAAACAAAACCCACUUUCAUUGAUUCUUCAUCCAAAAUUUGAUGAUUUCAUAUAUAAAAACUUUUGUAAAUAAUAAAUGAACCUCGAUGAAUGUAUAAAAACUUUUGAGAUUUCAAUUAGCCAACUCAAAUUAUCUUUCUUAAUUCUAAAAUUUAUUAUUAUUAAAGUUCUUAAUUGUAAAUUGCCACACCCAAUUUUUUUUUUUUUGAAAAUUAAAAACCAGUAUUUUUUUUUAAUGGAAAAAAUAGAAACCUUACAAACGAAAGCCAUGAGGGCACGCAGGCCCAACUAAAUUAAAAUAAAACGGAGCAGAGCAACCUAAAAGAAGCCCCUGCUCCCAUAGGUGGGAAGGGUUCAGAGAAUGGCCUAAAUUAGCUAAAACGUUAGCUGUGAAGUUAGCUUCCUGGAAGAAGUAAGAACUUAAUAGCCUUAUGUCUUGUACGAGGAGAUGAAUACUCCAAGGAACUGAAACUUUGUUGUUGUUAUAGUCAAUAAUGAGUUUGGAAUCUCCUUCAACUAAAACUUUGCACCAACCAUUGUGGAUUGCAUAGGUGAGACCAUCAUGAAGCACUAAACAUUCAGCAACAUUUAUCUAAAUCUGACCCGAAUUCUUAGCUCCAUCGAGCCAAACGUUACCAUUCCAGUCUCGAGUAAUGAAACCAGUGGUGGCUAGAUUACCACACACUGAGCCAUCAAAGUUCAAUUUAAUCUAAUCGAGCGAUGGUGGUUUCCAUUUAAUGGCAAGCUCACCUUUGGACUUUUGAGGAGGAGUGGAAUUGAUUUUCCAAAAGUCUAGUCCAAUCUGACCAGUAGCAUUAAGGGCUCUAACCGAAUGAGGGGCAAUGUCUUUAAACACACAAUUGUUCCGAACCGCCCAAAUUUGCCAACAGAGAAGAAGGGCUUUGGAAAGAAUAUUUGGGCCAUCCUUAUCCUUUGUGUGAGGGAAAGCAGCUAGCCAUUCUAUACCAUGAAAAUUUUGCUGGGUAGGCGUACGGAUUAUUGAGGUACACCUUCAUAUGUUGAUUGUAAACUGGCAUUCAAAGAAUAAAUGGUUAAUAGUCUCCCAAAAAAAAAAAAAACCAAUUGUCGAGGGCGAGAGUAUAUACUUCUUUGAUAUAUAGAAAGAGCUAAAACAGAGCUCCAAUUUCAGAUUCUAGUAGGUUCUUUAAAAAACAAAUCUAAAUAACAUUAUAUAAGACAUUUUUCAGCUAAAAAUUCAAAAACCCUAAAUUGCGGGCGAACCAAUAGAAAAUUCACAAAAUACCGAAUAACUAAAACUGGACCAUCAAACACCCCAUUAGACCCAAAAAAACGAACACCGCAUUUCAAAAUUCAAUAUCAUCGAUCAAACAAUAAUCUCCCAAGAUUGUCCAUUGAACCCUAAUCUCCCAAGAUCGUCCAUCGAACCCUUAUAUCCUCCAUCUAAUCACCAACUCUAAUCAUCAAGAUCCUUAUUGUGAUAAUGGACAUGGUCGAGGAAUUUGACGACUAUAUGAAUGCAUAACGUAAAUCGCUAGCCACCACAGUUAAAACCGUCGUCGAAAUAGAUGCCGCCACAGCCACCGUCGAAAUGGAUGCCUUCAUAACCGUCGUCGAAAUGGAUGCCGCCCCCAAACGUAAAGGUCGUGAUUUGCCAUUCGUGGUCGAAAUUGCCACAGAAAAACGUAAACGCUGUGAUUCGCCAGCCUGCGUCGAAAUCAAUGCAGCUACAGCCGCCAUCGAAAUCAAUGCAGCUACAUCCACCGUCAAAAUCAAUGCCUCUACAGUCGCCGUUGAAAUCAAUGCUGCUAUAGUCGCCGCCAAAAACUGGGUUGCUUGCUACCGUUAAAAAGCAGGCGGUCCGCAAUGCAAAGUUGUACUCCAGAUUUGCUCACCCGGUUGUUGAAACUGCGACUACGAACGAUGCAAGGCCAGUUGAUCUCACUGUCUACUAAUCCCUUAGAUUGUUAUGAAAUUUGAUUGUGUCCUGUUAUUCUGCCUUUGGAUUUUCUGUUGGUGGUUGUUCUUUUUGGUAGGAUUCUGAUGUUUGUGUUCAUGGGAAUAUGUUAAAAAUAUUGUAUUCUUCAAGCCCAGUAAUGACCUUGUGGUGAUUUUAUGGUUGGUUAGGGAACACUAUUUGCAUGUUUUUGUUUUCGAAGAUUUUCAUAGUCUGUUUGGUUGCUGAGAAAAAGGUGGGAAAACCAAGGACUUUAGUGAAGAAAUAAGGCGGUUGACCAUAUCUAAAAAAAAAAAUCUAUUUGGAGGAUAGUUGAAUUUUGACCUAGGUAGUCUCUCUUUUAGCUCAUUUUGCAGGUGUCAAACCGUGAUUUACAUGGUAUAGUGAAGGCAACUUCCAAUUAAACACAAGAGCCGAGUUCUCCUUUUAAUUGUUUGCAUAUUGAAUGCUUUUACUAAGUAUGAGGAUAUGGAUAUUUUGUAUCUGCGUGUGCUCCUGUGGUGACUGACAUCACCCCAGCACCAGCCUGCUCAUCCAUGGUGGAGUAACUAGCAGCUAAUAGAUAGCAAGAAUUAAAGUACUUCUAUUUGCAUUUGAUACUCUUCAAUGUUGCAAUUGGGUUUUGUUGUGUUUUGUCUCUUAUCUUGAUUGGGAGCGGUAAAUUUUCCUGCAGUUUUCUCAUGCAAGCCAAUUCAACAACCUUUCUGCUCUUCAUACUCUGAUACUCUAUGUUGUACUGUAUUGUAUUUGUCCUCAUUCAACAUGGCACCUUGAACCUUCUGGCCUUCUUUCUUGUUAUAGUUUCUUCCGCUCUCUAAAAGGUUCAAACAUGGGCCUCUAUCUAGGUUGACCAAAUUUUCGACGGCGAGAGCUUGGCGAACCAAUAGAAAAUUCACAAAAUACCGAAUAACUGAAACUGGACCAUCAAACACCCCAUUUCCUCAUACCCAAAAAAAGGGACAUUGCAUUUCAAAAUUCAAUAUCAUCGAUCGAAUCCUAAUCUCCCAAGAUCGUUCAUUGAACCCUAAUCCCCCAAGAUUGUCCAUUGAACCCUAAUCUCCCAAGAACGUCCAUCGAACCUUUAUAUCCUCCAUAUAAUAACCAACUCUAAUCAUCAAGAUCCUUCUUGUGAUAAUGGACAUGCUCGAUGAAUUUGACGACUAUAUGAAUGCACAACGUAAAUCGCUAGCUACCAAAGCUAUCACCGCUACAACCACUGUCAAAAUGGAUGCCGCCAAAGACACUGCCACUACAACCGACGUCGAAAUGGAUGCUGCCACAGCCACCAUCAAAAUGGAUGCUGCCAUAGCCACUGUUGAAAUGGAUGCCGCUACAGCCGCCCCAAAACAUAAAGGCAGUGAUUCGCCAGCCGUCGUUGAAAUUGCCAUAGAAAAACGUAAACGUUGUGAUUCGCUAGUCGGUGUCGAAAUCAAUGCGCUACAGCCGCCGUCGAAAUUGAUGCCGCUACAACUGCCCUCGAAAUCGAUGCCGCUACAUCCACCGUUGAAAUCGAUGCCUCUACAGUCGCUGUUGAAAUCAAUGCCGUUAUAGCCGCCGCCAAAAAUCGGGUUGAUACUGCAAGGCUGCUUGAUACCGCUAAAAAGCAAGUGGUCCACAAUGCAAAACUGUACUUUGGAUAUACUCACUCGGUUGUUGAAACUGCGAGUACGAACGAUACAAGGCUAGUUGCUCUCGCUGAAAAACUGGCUGCUAGAAGCCGUAUAGAGUUGGUUCCUGAAUUUGUAAAGCUAAUGGCCGACUAUAAAAAGCAUAUGGUUGAAUUGGAAGUUGUUUCUGACACAGCAGUGGAAACGCUACAACGCGCAUUCGACGAUGUUAUUGAUAACAUGAUCCCCAAGAUGCCUAAUCUCGCUGACAUGUCUGACAAGUUGAACGAUCUACGAUUACGCCAAGCACGUAAGGCCAAAACUCGCAGAGCAUCUAGCCGUGUCACUGGCUUAGUCUGAAGUCUCUAUGAUGUUGUCUCUAAUGGCAAUUUUGGAGCCAUGACAUGGAAGACGGAUGACACUCUUCCAGUUUCCAGUCAUGGGAGCUGCGUCUCCAGUCACUUACUUUUUCAUUUUCCCGCGCCUGAUUAGCGCUUCUAUCUCUUCCUUCAUCUGGUACCAGUGCGUGCAAAUAUCACCGAGAUUACAGCCAUCAUACAGAUGACUGCUACCAGCUAAAGGAAGAGAUAGAAGCGCUGAUCAGGCGCGAGAAACUGAAAGAGUAUAUGACUAGAGACGCAACCCCCAUGACUGGAAAUUGAAAGAAUGUCAUCUGUCUUCCAUAUCAUGGCUUCAAAAUUGCCAUUAGAGACAACAUCAUGGAGACUUCAAACUAAGCCAGUAACACAGCUAGAUGCUCUGCGAGUCUUGGCCUUACGUGCUUGGCGUAAUCGUAGAUCGUUCAACUUGUCAGACAUGUCAGCGAGAUUAGGCAUCUUGGGGAUCAUGUUAUCAAUAACAUCGUCGAAUGCGCGUUGUAGCGUUUCCACUGCUGUGUCAGAAACAACUUCCAAUUCAACCAUAUGCUUUUUAUGGUCAGCCAUCAGCUUUACAAAUUCAGGAACCAACUCUAUACGGCUUCUAGCAGCCAGUUUUUCAGCGAGAGCAACUAGCCUUGUAUCGUUCGUACUCGCAGUUUCAACAACCGAGUGAGUAUAUCCAAAGUACAGUUUUGCAUUGUGGACCACCUGCUUUUCAGCGGUAUCAAGCAACCUUGCGGUAUCAACCCAAUUUUUGGCGGCGGCUAUAACGGCAUCGAUUUCAACGACGGAUGUAGCGGCAUCGAUUUUGAGGGCGGUUGUAGCGACAUCAAUUUCGACGGUGGCUAUAGCGACAUUAAUUUCGACGCCGACUAGCGAAUCACAACGUUUACGUUUUUCUAUGGCAAUUUCAACGACGGCUGGCGAAUCACUGCCUUUAUGUUUUGGGGCGGCUGUAGCGGCAUCCAUUUCGACAGUGGCUGUGGCAGCAUCCAUUUUGAUGGUGGCUGUGGCAGCGUCCAUUUCGACGUCGGUUGUAGUGGCAGUGUCUUUGGCGGCAUCCAUUUUGACAGUGGUUGUAGCUGUGAUAGCUUUGGUAGCUAGCGAUUUACGUUGUGCGUUCAUAUAGUCGUCAAAUUCAUCGAGCAUGUCCAUUAUCACAAGAAGGAUCUUGAUGAUUAGAGUUAGUGAUUAUAUGGAGGAUAUAAAGGUUCGAUGGACGUUCUUGGGAGAUUAAGGUUCAAUGGACGAUCUUGGAAUAUUAGGGUUCGAUGGACAAUCUUGGGAGAUUAGGGUUCAAUGAACGAUCUUGGGAGAUUAGGAUUCGAUCGACAAUAUUGAAUUUUGAAAUGCAAUGUCCCUUUUUCUGGGUAUGAGGAAAUGGGGUGUUUGAUGGUCCAGUUUCAGUUAUUCGGUAUUUUGUGAAUUUUCUAUUGGUUUGCCAAACUCUCGCCGUCGAAAAUUUGGUCAACCUAGAUAGAGGCCUAUGUUUGAACCUUUUAGAGAGCGGAAGAAACUAUAACAAGAAAGAAGGCCAGAAGGUUCAAGGUGCCAUGUUGAAUGAGGACAAAUACAAUACAGUACAACUAUAUCCAUAUCCUCCUACUUAGUAAAAGCAUUCAGUAUGCAAACAAUUAAAAGGAGAACUCGGCUCUGGUGUUUAAUUGGAAAUUGCCUUCACUAUACUAUGUAAAUCACGGUUUGACACGUGCAAAAUGAGCUAAAAGAGAGACUACCUAGGUCAAAAUUCAACCAUCCUCCAAAUAGAUUUUUUUUUAAAUAUGGUCAACCGCCUUAUUUCUUCACUAAUGUCCUUGGUUUUCCCACCUUUUUCUCAGCAACCAAACAGACUAUGAAAAUCUUCGAAAACAAAAACAUGCAAAUAGUGUUCCCUAACCAACCAUAAAAUCACCACAAGGUCAUUCCUGGGCUUGAAGAAUACAAUAUUUUUAACAGAUUCCCAUGAACACAAACAUCAGAAUCCUGCCAAAAAGAACAACCACCAACAGAAAAUCCAAAGGCAGAAUAACAAGACAACCAAAUUUCAUAACAAUCCAAGGGAUUAGUAGCCAUUGUAUAUGAAAUCAUAGACUUCCUAACAAAUCCUUAUACUGAUGCACAAAUGCACAUGUUUAGAAGGCAUGCCAAUUCCAUAAAAAUGUUCAACAACAUGUAUUCCAUAAAAAUUCUUACCCAAAUUGCAUGCAACCCUAGAACAGACUUUUAGAAUGUUUUCAGUUACGGGCGCAACCCUAAGAUUUAAUCUAGGUUGUUAUCCAAAACUGAAAAACCUGAUAAUGGUGCAAUCCCAUAUAUUGAAGAAGGAUGAUGCUCAAUUGUGCCAGAAGCACAGCUUAUAACAGUAACACUGGCAUUUGGAACUCCAUAUAGAGGGAGCAUACUAAAGAAAACUCACUCCCUCAAUAUUACACCCUCCCUCAAUAUAGAGGAGAGCUUGUAUCUACUUUGGCAAAACAAACUGAAAGAGAAACUGCCAAGGUCAAAAUUCAACUAUCCUCCACAUACAUAAUUUUUUUUGGUCAACUGCCUUAUUUUUUCACAAGUCCUUGCUUUUCCCACCUUUUUCUCAGCAAACAAACAGACUAUGAAAAUCUUCGAAAACAAAAACAUGCAAAUAUUGUUCCCAUGAACACAAACAUCAGAAUCCCACGGAAAAGAACAACAACAACCCACAGAAAAUCCAAAUGCAGAAUAACAGGACCAAAAAGAACAACAACAAAACAACAACCAACAGAAAAUCCAAAGGCAAAAUAACAGGACACAAUCAAAUUUCAUAACAAUCCAAGGGAUUAGCAGCCAUUGUAUAUGAAAUCAUGGACUUCCUAAAAAGUUCUUACACUGAUCCACAAACGCACAUGUUUAGAAGGGCAUGCCAAUUCCAUAAAAAUACUUCACACCACCACAAGAACGAGCCUCGAUCGUCAUUACAAUUCUUCACAAAGAAAGCUCGCGUAAUAUCAUCGCUUCCUUGCCUCCACCAAGCCGACCAGAGUAUCAAUCUUCUUAUCGUUGGUGAUUACUUUUUUGUCCAACUCAUCAAAUUUCCCAUCUAGUCUUGAGAGGUCACCUUUCUAAAUUUCGAGCAAGUCUUUCUUUUCGUCUGCGCCAAGACCCGCCUGAGCCAGUCUGGGCGGGAUCGUGGAUGACGGAAAGGCCGGCGGCAUCCGUCUCGGUGACGGAGAUUUCUCUUUGGAAUUCGGCUUCGGCUAUGAGAGAAGAGUGGAAGGUUAGGGUUUUAGGAUUUCUAGCGAGUCCGAACCUCUCAAUUUUAAAAACUGGGGCUUGAACAGGCUAUAAGCCUAUUAUGCGGGUUUGGGGAGAAAAACCCAUUUGUCAAAAUUUAAUACAGAAGAAUAAACAGUGGUUGGGGAAGAAAAAACCCAUUUGUAAGUGGGUUUUUUACAUUUUCAGUCCAUAACCACAGUGGUGACUACUACAAGGAAAAUGUAAAAAUAAUUGUGGACACAUUUCAGAUCACUUGGGUUGGUGUAUGGUGGCAAAAAUGCACCUUAUAUAUGGGUACAUUUUCCAGGGUUGAGUCCUUGGGUUUGAGGCUAGUUGAAAUCUAUCAGGUUAGACCCAAGGUCCAACAAGGAGGUCAGCAUUUGAGCUUGAGCGACCCCAAAUCAACAAGAAUGACUGGAGGCCCAAAAUUAAUAAAAGCGGUUGAGCAUGUAAAUGCGGUCAAGCAUGUAAAUGUGGCCGGGCACCUAAAUGCGAAUAGCACAAAAGUGAUCGAAUGAUUAAAAGCGGUUGAAUGCAUAAAUUUAGCCGAGACUUAAAUGAGGAGAGAGCAUUCGUAGGAGAAUUUUCACAUAUGUUAUAAUCCAAGGCAAUUAUGCCAAUCCGAUGGUUAACCAAAGUUAAUGUGGGAGAGCUUAGAAUGGAAUGAAGAUCAAAUCAAAAUAAUUAUUCAAAUUAAACCAAAAGCAUAAAUCAAGGCAGUUGAUGAAAUCAACCAAAAUUAAUGUUAUUUAUCAAGGAGGAAAUUAUGAUCAAUUUCAAGGCCAAUUGAUGAUCAGUCAAAUAUAAACGUGUUGUAGAACCCUUAUAAAUACCAAGCUAUAAAAGAGAGAAAGGAAGCCCGAUACAACAUACAACUUGUCAUUUUACAUAAUUUUUAAUUCCUAUCCUAGAAAAAGCGUAAAUUGUCAUUUAUUUUACUCAAUUUACAUUAAGCACUUAUCUUUAAAUUAUUUAUUUUAUACACUUUAAUUUCCAUCAUUUACUUUACACAAUUUAAUUAUCAUAUUUGUCCCUUCAAUUCCAUUUAAAUUCAAGAACCUUUACAAUUUACACACUUGUUCUUUAUUUCAUCCACAUUUCUUAGUUAAUCUUCAUUUCUAUCCACUUCACAUCACUUGGUUUGUCACACAAAGCUACUUAGGAUAAGCAAGUUUCUUGCUCGGCUGAACAAUAAUUUGACUAAAGAUAUAUCUUGGAUGCAUCAUCCACUCACAUUCCCUUCAAGCCAAAUUUGUGACUUGGUAGUGGCAUACACGAAUGCUCAAUUAAAGAAUGACCCAAAAACUCUUUCAAUCGGCCUACCCAACCUAAAAUAAGGAAACAUAUAUAUUCAAUGAAAUUUCUGGAACGACAGACAUAGUGACCAUGCCAGGAAAUGGAUUUGGUCCUGGAAGUGAAGAGUAUAUAAGAGUUGGUGCUUGUUGAUGAUGACUUUUGUGCCGACAUGCAUGUUGGUGCUUUGUUGUUAUUAUUUUUGUAUUUUUCGUAUAUUUGCAAAGUUAGUUGACGGCUUUUCAUCUCUUGAGCCAAAGCUCAAGUAAAAUAGCAAAGUGAGUUGCCACUUGGACCUUUGGCCAACAAAAUUACAUAAACAGCUGUUAAAAUUAUCCAAACUGCUGUUAUACCUUUCAAGUUUCUGCAGGGCAUGAUGCAAAUACACAAUUUAAGACAUCUUAUCGAAGAUGAACUUUUGAAAUGAAAAUUAAAGUAGAUUGUCAGAAGAUUGGUAAGAAGAGGAAAAAGAGGAAAUUUUAGCAAUGCUAUCUCAUCCACCCUCAUAUUCUGUCAGCAACUCCCUAAACUCAUUGUCAGUGCUCUUGAGUAUCAAUGGCAAGGCACUUCCACCCAACUCUACACAACCUCCAUGUGCCUUGGCUUUAUCCUCUUCUCCAAGCUAAAAGCGAAGUACUGGGGAAAUUGCUUAGUUCCUCCAACUUCUUCCCAAUGUCCACAAAAAAGUAUUCAAACUUUGGCUAUGCAUGAAAAUCAACCACCAAGGGUGCGAAGAGCACCAUUUGGUUCACCCACAUGUUAGGCAGACUCAUUAUGCGGAAAAUUCUACUAAACAAAUUCAAACCAAACAAGGGCAACCUUGUAGCAAUUCAAAACUCAAAAAAUCUCAGACUAAUGCCAAUCAUACAGAGUACACAAGCCAAAAAGAUAUAAAUGAACAAGAAAGAAGAACAUGAACAAAUUCAUACCAAGAAAUUGAGGAAAGGGGUUUGCAGUUGUAUACUCAAGAAUGGCCAAAGAGGCUGCCAUCAACCAAACAAAAUGGCAUCUCAGGCAAAUGCUAGUGAACCAUAAGCACCAGUAUGAGGCGUAAUUCAUCUUAAGGUCAAAGUAUCCAACACUUGCCUCAACUCAAUUAAGGUUCUUCUAAUUCAAUUCUCCUUUUGUAAAAAUCUGUUCUGUUUGUAGUAUUUAUUUGUUUAUUUUAUAGCAAUUUAGCAUUCAUAUUUCCUACAAUCUUAAGACGAAUUGGCCUGUCUUAAUUGCUAUAUACAUUAGUCGUGCAUUUAGAUGAAAAGUUGCAAACGGUUUGAAUAUAAUGCAUAUAACAGUUUACUCCUUUAAUUGACAUUGAGAUUGACGCUGCAAACGUUUUUGAAUCUGGUGCAAACGGCAAACAUCUUUUAAUUGAUUUCCUUUUAGUUGGUUUUUCUUUUCUUUUGUUUUAUCUACAAUUUAAAGUCAGACUUCUAGGUUUAUUGUUUUGUUAUCAUAAAGUCUGAUUGCCUUCUGUUUCUGUUGUUAGACAAAGUAUACGUACAAUAGAAGGUCCCGAAAGUGAUCUUCAAUGGUUACGGAGAUCCUCUAAACGGUGGAAUGAUGAAAAAGGGUUGUACUCCCCAAUCCAAUUGCAUCACUCUCAGGGACUCCAGUAACUCUUCAAUUCUUUUCUUAUUGUUUGGGAAACGAUCUUAGGAGCAAAAUUGCAGUUUCCCAAACCUAAAAGGAAACACAAGACAAAAGGAGCCAACAGCACCUCCUCCACUAUAAAAGCCCCUUCCAGCCGCGAGAAACUCCAUUCUGUUUUUUUUCUUUUAAAACUCAAUUUUAUCUCUCUCAGUAUUUUUUCUUUCUUUCUUUUCUUAUGGGUGAAUCGGAAAACCCCCUCCUCAAUGAAUUCGGGGCCUCGCAGUCAACUCCUCCUGAGCCGGCCCCCAUCGCCGACCAAUGCUUGAAACCGACCCUUGAUGAUUGCACAAGCUUCAAUCGGAACAGAAUUGCCGACUAUGGUAAGAAACUUUUUAAUUUCACCAAUUUGUGGAAUUUAGAUCCCUUUUUCGAAUCUAGUUUCAUGACUGUAUUGUAAUUUUGUUACUGGAGAUUAGAGUUAGUGGUUAACAUGAUAGAAUGAUCAUGUGUUAAUGGGUCUUAUUGGAACUUAGCUAGUUAUGGUCAGAAAACAACAGUCUUCGGAACUAAUAUGUUUAUUGCUGCUCUUGAUAAUCACAUGAGUUGCUGCUGCUCUUGAAAAUCAUAUGUACAAAGUAAAGUAAGAGCUUUUUCCUUAGACUGAUGAUGCUUUAAUUGUUAUGGCCAUGGUAUGUAUGCAUAAACUUUGAAAUUUUGAUGGCCAAGGUAAUUAGACUCUUGUUUUAUGAUGAUAAAUGAAUCUUGCAGGAAUUCAGACAUCUCGUGAUGCCAAACGUGUUGCUGGCUCUGCAAAGAUAUCAGAGUUGAGCAACAAGAACAGAACAUUGUCCUCCAAUACUCUUAUGAGCUCUGAGCAGGAAAUUGAAUGCGGCGGGGCUUCCAUGAAGCUUGCAUCUGGAUUUCUUAAGCAGAAGCAAUUCGAGGAGGACAUUCAAUGCAGGUUUCUUUCUAAUUACACGAUUUAUAUUCCUAGAAUUGAAAACAGACUAGAAUUAUCAGUUUUCUAUGGCUUCUAGGGAUAAUUAUUUUUAGGAGCAUUCAUAUUGAUUGAUGCCUCAUUUAUUUAUAAAAUUCUUCAGACCCAGGUUUCCAACAUUUAGAUUUAGGUUUUUUGUCGGAAGCUAGUUGUUGAACACAGUUGUAUUUUUGGUGUAGCUUUAAUUUUGUUGAAAAAGCAGCUAAAACCUUUUGAAAACAGAAGAGGAUGAGAAAAUAGGAUAUCACUUUAGUGAACAAGGAUGCAUCAAGAAAGAAAACCAUGUUAAUCAUUAUACCUUCCUAUAUCCCUUGGUACUUGGCUCUUGAUGAGCUAACAUCAUCGCCAUAUCUAGUAACAAGGUUAAACAUGACUGUUUGAUUUUUUUUUCCCCCUUAAUAUGUCAAUUCCACCCAGCAUUUUUUUAGAGGGCAUACGUUAUGUGUAUAAUAUAUAUUGCAUGGCUCAGGUUGAUUAAUUGUGAUACUCCUACCAAAGGAAGGAAGAGAUCCCAGUCAUCUCUUGGAUUGCCAACCUCUAGUCAGUUAAAAAGAUCAAAGAGAUCAUCACCAGCAGAAAGAAGACCAUCAUCAAUUGAUGAUCUCCCUGACACGGCAUUGGUUGAAAUCCUUUGCCGACUUCCAUCAAGUAAAUUUGUGUUUCAAUGCCAGCGUGUGUCCAAGCGUUGGCGCACACUCGUCUCAGAUCCUUAUUUUAUCGGCCGCUUUGUACAUAUCCAGAGUUAUAGGAAAACUCCAAAGAUACUCACUCUGAUAAGUAAAAAAGGAGAGGAAUUCCCUCCUAAAAUGCCAUGGCCAUCCAAGCUACUAACUCCAGUGUUCGAAAGAAUAAUGAGUUUCCACCCUUUGAUAAGUCAGCUAGUUGUGGUAGCGACGUAUAAUGACUUAGUUUUGUGCUGCGCAAGUGAGUAUUAUCCACGCGAUUACUACAUCUGCAAUGCAUACACAAGGCAAUGGGUUGCUCUUCCUCCUCCCCCAAGUCGAUGUCACGAUUCAUCUGUGAUAUUCCUUACUAUAAUUCUAAGAAAGAAGAUUGGAAAGGGCAUAACGUCCAGCUUAAUGCUAAGUGUGUGUGCAACGUUGUGAGAAUACUUCCUCCUGAUGAAUCUGCAAAUGAUGACAAAUGUGAUUCCUUAAAAUUAAGCGUGGAGAUCUUCUCUUCUGAGACUGGUGAAUGGAGAGAAUCAGUUGUGGCUUCCCCACAAUACUUUGAUUUUGAUGACCUUGAAGAUAUAUCCUUUGCAUACAAUGGGAUGUUAUAUUGGACAAGUGACGAAGACCUUCUUUUUGUUGGUUUGGGUCCCUUCAAUGACAAUAACACGACAACUAGUAGUAGUAUCAGCAGUAAUGGUGAUGGCGUUAUUGAUCAUAAACUUCAUUUUACUGUAUUUGAGGAGCCUCUAAAUGGACAUUUUGUAGUUGAGUACCUAGGUAUGUUCGCAGGAUGUGUGCGGAUGUGUGACUUUAAGGAGGCUACCAAAACUCUGUAUGUUUGGGAGUUGAAAGAACAAGAUCAUGAUCGGAUGGUCGAUGGAGCUGCUGGCAGAUUGUGUUUAACUAACCACAGGGUAUAUCAGUUGGACCCAAAUAUGUAUCCAGAUGGUCCAUUUACAUGCGAAAUGCAGGCUUUUGACCCAAAUAAUAAGGAUAUUUUGUAUCUGCGUGUGGACGGAGAUAUUAUCAAGUGCAACAUUCAUACAAAAAAGUGGUCUAGGAUAGUUAGACGGUGUCCAGUUCGUAAUGGUGACUAUUGGCCAGUUGAGCUCCCAUGGUGGCCGACUCCAGUUCCUAGAUUACCGCAGCAUGCCCAUGGUGGAGGAACUAGCAGCUAGUAGAUAACUUGAAUUGAAGUACUAAACUUUUAUUUAUUAUAGUAGGAUUAUUUGUAUUUGAUAUACUCAGCAAUGUUACAUUUGUAUUUGCUGGUAAUUACCCUAGCAUGUUUUUUUAAUUACUCUUUUUGUUAACUGGUUUUUUUUUUUUCUUUUCUUAUUAUGGCGAUAUACGGAGGACUGCGAGUCGUUCUGUACACGCCCAGUUUAUUAAUUAAAGCAUUCUUUAAGCUGAAUUUAAGUUUUGCAAUCUUAUUCUUGGUUCUUUCUUUUGUUUUGUUUUGUUUCUGUUUUUGUUUUAAGUUUUCUGACGUACAUCUUAUAAUCUUGUUCUUCAUCAUUUGGUUGCUUUCUAUUUUCUAUUAUACAAAUUUGCCCUGGGUUUGAGUGUUAAGCUUUGAUUUUUGCAUGAUUCUAAGUUUGAGUGUUAAGCUUUGGUUUUUGCAUGAUUCUAAGUAAUUUGUUUCAAUAGUCCCUGUAUCCAGAGGUUCCACGUAAAUGCUUGUUCUGUUAUGUGAUGAAGAAUCAAGGAAGGUAUAUCAUGAUGUUUCAUAUAAUUGUUGACCUUAAACACUACUAUCAGAAAUGGGCUGUUUAGUGUGCUACCUUUUGAUUUUGUUUUGUGUCAUUCUUAGUUGCUUUCCGUAGAAAAUAAUUACAUAAUAAAAUAUGAGUUUGUUUACCGGAAAAUAAAAGGUUUUUUAUUAUAUUAAAAAAAACGUAUAGUUGCGCGGUUAUAUUGUUUUUUAUACUCGAGGUUUUUUAAAAUAUCGUAUAGACAUACGGCUAUACUUUUUUGACACGUGGCGAAGCGAGCGCUAGGGGCCAGGACGGUUUUUGUAAAAAAAACGUCUACCUCGCGGCUAUACUAUUUUUUGACACGUGGUGAAGCGGCAUAGGGGCCAGGCGGGUAGUCCUUUUUUAAUUAUACAUAGUAUAGCCGUGCGGCUAUACUCGAGGUGCGAAAUGGCCGCAAUGGUCCUCUUUUUUUAUUUAUAAUAGUAUAGUCGCGCGACUAUACUCGGAUUUUUUAUAAUAAAAAUAGUAUAGCCGGCCGGCUAUACUACGGUUUUUAUUAUAAAAAAUUAAUAUACCCACGCGGCUAUACUAUUUUUGACAUGUGGCAAAGCAGCGCUAGGGGCUAGUGGGUUGUCUUUUUUUAAUUUAUAAACAGUAUAGCCGUUCAGCUAUACUCGGGGGUUUUUAUUUAAAAAAAUUAUAGCCGCCCGGCUAUAUUAUUUUUGACACGUGGCUAAGUGAGCGCAGGUGGGUCUUUUUUUAAUAAGGCUAUGCUCAGAAUUUUUUUAUAAUAAAAUAGUAUAGCCGCGCGGCUAUACGACGUCGCCAAUUAACAAGGAGUUAACCACGCACGCAUCGACGUCAUACCUCUACCGCUCAGAAACCAAUUUCUUCUUUGCCUCCUCAAACUCCAAAGGCCUCACCAAACAAACAGAUAAAAUUCAACGAUCAACCGAAAAAGAAACCUAAACGGUCAAUAUUCGUCACAUCGCGUUAGCUUCUGUCCGCCAAAAGCGAAGCGUGUCUGCUUGCUCCCCAAGCCAACCCAAACCUUUAUAAAUACCACUCAUCACCCUCUGAAAACCCAAAUGCUUCCCAAAGCCCCAAACCACAUCAAAUUACAAAAAACCCAUUUCUUCCUUCACUUGAACACCGAAAAAACCUAUAUAUUUUAGGCCAUGUCGACGGUAGGUUAUGGUUUUGCUGAAGCAUAUGUGCUCAGAGGCCUCCACAAGAAGAAGCUGAAGAUGGAGCAAGAAGAAGAAAGAGUCAAGCUGGGCAGAGCUGAAUCUGAAAUUGGUCAGCCCAGUGGUUGUUUGUUUCGGGUGAUGAAGAAAGUCCAUCCAAGCAAUGCUCAGAGUCAAAGGGCUUGUUCAGCUGAAACAGAAGAAACUGCUGAAGUUAGGGCUUUGAACCAGAAAGUUAGAUAGAGCUCAGGCUCAUGACAUUUGUCGCUGCUUACAGUAAAAUGGGUUGUGCAUAAAAAAAUAUUCUUCUGAAAAAGUGUAUGUUUAGGCUAAGUCAUGCCUUUAGCUUAAGACUUUUUAAUGGGUUGGAUCUAUUGGUUUCAGUCCAAAUUCCAGGCCCAGUUUGUAUUAUUAUGACAGCAAUUGUUUUUUUAUUUGUUUAGAUUAUCAUUAUAAUUUAUUUUGAUGCACUUAAGCAUACUCAUUUAUUUUGAAGACUUUCAAGAACACCAACGAUUUAAUGUGGUUUUUCAAAGCCAGCCUACAUACAUAAUGAUGUUGAUAUAUUAAUGCAUGCAUACUUAUCUGCCCCCAAUGUGGGACCCAAUGACUAGGCCUUAUCACAUAUUGUGAGAAAAUCUCAUUUUGAUCCUCCACCUUUUGUUCUUGUUCGUCAAAAAAGUAACAUCUGGGGUUUAAUUAUUAAUAUGCCUCGGACUGUAUUCAUGUUACGUCGGAAUAUUUAUUAGAUUUUUUAAAUAAGAGUUAAUGUAAAAUGAGACACUAAAUUCAAGUUUGGAGGAUUAAAUAAGAUAAAUUAAAAUUUAGAGAAUGAAAUGAAAUGAAAUUUUAAAGGUCAUAUCUAUACAACUAUAUCAAUAAUUAACCUAAAAUUAUUCUCACAGUCUCUCUCAGUCACUUCUAAGAAGAACUAGGAGAGUGAGGUCUAUAGCCUAUAAGUGACUCUUGAGCUUAUGGGUAAAGAUAGUAAUGUAUUUGUAAUUAGUGAUUUAUAUGCUCAUGAAUUUGGAAUGGCAUCAUCAAAUUGACUUUUGCACACACACGUUGAUUGAUUACUAUUUGGUUAAUUAAGUAUAUUACUAAAAUUAGUAGGACCUAAAAGAUGUCAUUUUCUCAUGUAAAAUCAAAUCACGUGCAUUAUGCAAAACCACUUUUUCACUUUUUACUAAUUUCCCAUCCACUCAUGAUAUUCAUCAAAUUAUAAUUAAAUUCACAAAAAUCAUCUCAACAUUAAAAGAAAAGGUGCUCCAGGUGCUCGUGUUUCCUGAUAUAUCACGUGCAAGAUGCACGUGAUGUCACGUGCUUAACUUAGCCUAUACCUGGAUUUUUUUAUAAUAAAAAUAGCAUCGCCUCAUUCUUGAAUUUUUUUAUAAUAAAAAUAGUAUAGCCGCGCGGCUAUACUACAUCCAACUCUCAGGAAUGAACAAAAUCACCAUAUACAGUACUUUCAAUUGAGAAACCCAAUUGAAAAACCAGUAUAGAAUUGAAUCCAGAAACCCAGUUGAAAGAUCAUGAAGGAAAACCAUAUACCAGUAAAAAAUCCCAGAAACCCAAUAUAUCUUUCUUCCCCUUCGCUGACCUCCUCCCUCCGCAGCAGCACCCACCUCUUCCCGUCCUUGAAAUUCCCUCCGAAUGCAAACUACCUCAAGACCCUUCAAUUCAUUCAAUAACCGAUUCAAGCUUUUUUUUUUUUUUUGGGUGCAUGAGUCCCAGAAGCACAAUUGAAAGACCAUCAAAAUUGAAACCCUUCCAAUUAUGAAACCCAAAUUUGAGGGGAGAUCGGGAAGAAGAGGAGGAGGUGGUAAUAGAAGAUAAGGGGCCAACAGGGUGGAGGUUGUGUGUGGCUUAGGUGAAGGGGCUGGAACCAGCGAGGUUUGGGGCUGGAGAGGUUCGAUACUUGGCUGGGGAACUUUGUGACUGCUGUUUGCUUUGCUUAGGGUUUAAUUUCUUUUAAUUUUUAUUUUAUUGAAAGUUAAUUACUAUUACAGUUAAGUGAAUGGACACGUAUAAACAAAUUAUACAAGAACAUGAAAAAUAGGGACAUCGGAUCCCCUCCAGCGAAGCGGGCCCUAGGGGCCAAGCGGUGGUCCCGCACGGCUAUACAAUUUGUUUUACAAUGGGUGCAGCCGGUCCUCUUUUUUUAUUUAUAAAUAGUAUAGCCGCCCGCUAUACUUUGUGGGACAUGUGGCGACCACGCACGCAUCAACGCCAUACCUCUGCCGCCUAGAAACCAAUUUUUUCUUUUGCCUCCACGGAGUCCAAAGGCCUCACCAAACAAACAGAUAAAAUUCAACGGCCAACCGAAAAAGAAACCUAAACUGUCAAUAUUCGUCACAUCACGUUAGCUUUCCUUCCGGCAUAAGCAAAGCGUGUCUGCUUGCUCCCCGAGCCAACCCAAACCUUUAUAAAUACCACUCAUCACCCUCUGAAAACCCAAAUGCUUCACUUCUCAAGCCCCAAACCACAUCAAAUUAGAAAAAACCCCAUUUCUUCCUUCACUUGAACACCAAAAAAACCUAUAUAUUUUAGGCCAUGUCGACGGUAGGUUAUGGUUUUGCUGAGGCAUAUGUGCUCAGAGGCCUCCACAAGAAGAAGCUGAAGAUGGAGCAAGAAGAAGAAAGAGCCAAGCUGGGUGGAGCUGAAUCUGAAAUGGCUCAGCCUAGUGGUUGUUUGUUUCGGGUGAUGAAGAAAGUCCAUCCAAGCAAUGGUCAGAGUCAAAGGGCUUGUUCAGCUGAAACAGAUGAAACUGGAGAAGUUGGGGCUUUGAACCAGAAAGUAAGAUAGAGCUCAGGCUCAUGACAUUUGUAGCAGCUUUCUGUAAAAUGGGUUGUGCAAAAAAAAAAAAUUGUUCUGAUAAAGUCUCUGUUUGGGCUGAGUCAUGCUUUUACCCUAAGACUUUUUAAUGGGUUGGAUCUAUUGGUUUCAGUCCAAAUUCCGGGCCCAGUUUGUAUUAUUAUGACAGCAAUUGUUUUUUUAUUUGUUUAUAUUAUCAUUAUAAUUUAUUUUGAUGCACUUAAGCAUACUCAUUACACAUUUAACUUUGUUUUGUUGAUGGCCC